ensembl:lncRNA
CUUCUUCUAGUCAAAUCUCCAGGGGAUUGGUUGAGACCAAUCCGCAUUGUGGAGGGUAAUCUGCUGGACUCAGCCUACCAAUUGAAAUGUUCAUGUCAUCCAGAAACAGCCUCACAGAAACACCAGAAAUAAUAUUUAACUAAAAUAUCUUGGUAUCCCGUAGUCCACUUCAAAAAAAUAACCAUCACAGGAAGGGUGGGAAGAAUUUCCAAGAGAGAAUAAAAAUGGCUCAAUAUUUGUGAAUUUAAUCCAUUUUAAAUCAGCAGCUCCUGUAAGGAAAACAAACUGAGGAGCAAUUGGGAGAAUAGCCUCAACUCUUGAACAUUUCUAAGUGGAGUAGAGGGCCCAGAAGUCCACAGAGCAAGAGGAGAGAAAGGAAAGGAAUAAUAUUUUUACACUCAUUCCAGAUGAAAGCUAGGAUGCUUCAGCAUUAUUAUAGGGCAGAAACAUGCAUGGAAUAAUAGAAGAUUUCUAAGAAAACAAAACUGAAACUGUCCCGUAGAAUGAGUCUCUUAACAAGUGGCACAAAGGUUCCCUUGGUCAAGUGGGUACAGUGGACUCAGAAGAGGUGAUGAGUGAUGGCUCGUUAUGUGCCUGGCCUUCCUCUUCCAUCCUCCCUGCACCCAGCAGAUAUCUCUGUCACAAACAAGGGAAUGUGUGAUAAUUCCUUCCUUGAAAUUCAUGAGCUUUGCAUGCACUGUAUAUAGACUGGGCUACCAGAGGACCUGACUGACAGAGGAGCCACUCAUGUCAACCUCACAGAUCCAGAUCAGCACAGAAGAGAGAUGCGUUUUACCCCCAAAGUCAGCAACCUCUAUGAUGGCCCUUCAAAUACUCCUGAGCCCAUAAAAAAGGAAUUGCUCAGUGUUCUGGGCAGUAUGUAACAGUAAAAAGAAGAAAAACCCUCAGCUUUCAUGGAGUUUAUGUCAUAAUGUGAGAGACUAAACAAAAUAGCUUGUUGGCAGUCAUUUUGAAACCAUGAGAGAAUGUACCUUGUAAGUGAACCUGAUAACACAGAAGAGGACACCAUGGAGAGAACACUGUAUUCUCAAACUGGGGGUGUAAAUAUAAUUUCUCAAGACAGAGAAAGUUGAGCUGAUAUAUUUCCUUAUUCCUCAAGCAGGUUGAUGUGGAUAUUCUGUAUCUUACAAUACAAAGGAUCCUUCCUGAUUGACAACGAGGAGACAAAAUGGCAGAGUAGGAGGAAAUCACAUGCCUCUAGCAAGUGGUUAAGUAAACUCUAUUCUAAAUGGAGAUGAAUUAAUGUUAUAUUGGAGUAUAUAACCCAUAUCUUCUUUUCAUUUCAAUAAGUUACUACUGGUUUAUUUUAACUUUAUUUGCUUAUGAAAACAUUUUGAAAAAUGAGGGAAAACCAUGUAAAUUGUCUUUGGCUUCUGUGAUAAAGAGAGCGGGUAUACUAGCUGAGGCCAUACAGGGAUAUUUAUAAAAAGGAAAUAUAAUAUGGCAAACUUUUACAUGAUGCCAACUACGUGAAAGGGAUCUCUACCUUUAUAUAUGGCAGAGCAUUUAAUAAUCACAAUCAUAUUUUGAGGUAGGGACUCUCAGUCAGGUCCAUUUCACAGAUGAGGAAAUUGAGAUACAAAGAAGUUUCAUAAGAAGGGAAUCUGGGAUUUGAAUCCAAGUAGUUCAUCUCCAAAGUAAUUAUUCUUGGCUGGCAUUCUUUCUUAUGAUACUCAAGGAAAAGUGAGGUGAUUUCAGCUUAGAAAAAAUUUUCUAGAAACCUAUGCCAAAUUACUGAAUAUUCUUGCUGUGGCCACUCUACUUUCUAUGUCCUUCCAUAUUAUCCAUUUUUGCUUGUACUCAAUUUUCUUUGUUUUUUGGCAUGUGGUGGAAAUUUGUGUUUUGUGGGGAGUAGGAAGAUAGGGUGAAAGGGGAAAGACAGGGUGAAAGUAGGAAAGAUAGGGUGAUUUGGGGAUUAAAAAUGAUAAAAGAGAAAACCCAAAUUUAUUAAUUAAAAUUUACUAUAUUUCAAGUGACAGAAAAUCCAAUGCAAUUGUGCCUAACAGAGUGCAACUGAUGAGCUCCCAUAAUUGAAAGAUCUUAAGAUGAAUUUCAGAUUUGCCCUGGAAGUUCAACAGGGACCAUCAAAAAAUUUUUGCCCAACUUAUAUUAACUUAGACUGCAGGGUUAAUUUCACUCUUACGCUGGUUUCUUUCAUGAGGAACAUGGUCACCAGGACUGGUGGAGUCAGUCAUAUCUUUUCACACAAAAGGAGACAGACUGCAUUUCCUGGGUGUUUUCAGCAAUCCUUUCUUUAGUCUCAUUGUGGCUGAGUGGGUCAUUUGGCCCCUUGAAUUUGUGACUGGGACAUAAGCUUAUAAUGGCUUUUUUUGGGCCCAAGAACCAUGUCCUUAUCUUUUUAUAUCUGCCUAAUAUUUCAUUGUAUGUAGGUACCACAUUAUGUUUACCUAUUCGUCUAUUGCUGGACCUUUUGGCUUUUGAGGAUGGAGCUGCUCUGAACACUAAUGUACAAAUAUUUAUUUAUCUCUUUUCAAUUCUUUUUGGUACAUACUUAGGAAUUACUGAGGCAUAUGAUAAUGAUAUAUAUAAAUCUAUUGAAAAACCUAAGAAGAUUUUUUUUUUACAUUUUUAAAUGGUUGGAAAAGGAAUUUUUAAAAA